rnacentral:lncRNA from 1 species
CCAAAAUUAAUAAAAUAAAUGAACAUAGAGAAAUGAUUGAUUCACCACUAUCCUAUACCAGAACAGUAACUUUUGUUGAAAAAGUAGAGAAAGAUAGAUCUGCAAUUGGGGAAAGAAAAUAAGAUGUUGGAUUUGCUGUCGAUCAUCAACUUCAACACCAACACAAUGUCUUUCGGUGAGAUUUGCAGUCAAUUAUAUCUGUAAUCACUCUUGUGAGACUCAAAUCUAGACAAGUAACAAUCCUUGGAGGUUAUUGUGAGUCAAUUGUUGGUUUUUUCUCUAAGCUUGUUUAAUUAGCCUUUUUUUAAAUAAAAAAUAAAAAAUUAUGGAUAACUCUAUUUUGCUUAGCAAUUGCUACUAAGGCCUUUAGAUAACAACUUUCGACUCUCAGAUCGAUUAAUUGUCUGUGUAUUUUUGUUUUUUCCUUCAUGAUUUUGCUCAAAAUCGAAUUGGGUCUUUAUUUUUUUGUUGUUGUUGCUUUUAUAAUUUUGAUUUGAAAAAGAUGGUGCCUAUCAUCAAAUUUAAAAGAACAAAUAGAAUAGCACCAGAGGAUAGAGAGUUAAAGUGGCUGGAAGGAGGAGAGAAAAAGAAAGAAAAAAGUGGGAG